CACGUAGGGUGCAAGCGUUGUCCGGAAUUAUUGGGCGUAAAGGGCUCGUAGGCGGUCCGUCACGUCGGGAGUGAAAACUCGGGGCUCAACCCCGAGCCUGCUUCCGAUACGGGCGGACUAGAGGUAGGUAGGGGAGAACGGAAUUCCUGGUGUAGCGGUGGAAUGCGCAGAUAUCAGGAGGAACACCGGUGGCGAAGGCGGUUCUCUGGGCCUUACCUGACGCUGAGGAGCGAAAGCGUGGGGAGCAAACAGG
rnacentral:rRNA from 1 species